rnacentral:rRNA from 1 species
GGGAUAAUCCGGAGAAAUCCGGUCUAAUACCGCAUAAUAUCGUGAGUCUGCAUGGAUUUACGAUUAAAGGAGUGAUCCGGUGACGGAUGGGCAUGCGUGACAUUAGCUAGUCGGCGGGGUAACGGCCCACCGAGGCGACGAUGUCUAGGGGUUCUGAGAGGAAGGUCCCCCACACUGGUACUGAGACACGGACCAGACUCCUACGGGAGGCAGCAGUGAGGAAUAUUGGUCAAUGGGCUUACGCCUGAACCAGCCAAGUCGCGUGAGGGAAGACUGCCCUAUGGGUUGUAAACCUCUUUUGUCAGGGAGCAACGCCGGCUACGUGUAGCCGGACUGAGAGUACCUGAAGAAAAAGCAUCGGCUAACUCCGUGCCAGCAGCCGCGGUAAUACGGAGGAUGCGAGCGUUAUCCGGAUUUAUUGGGUUUAAAGGGUGCGUAGGCGGAAUGCCAAGUCAGCGGUAAAAUCGCGGGGCUCAACCUCGCUCCGCCGUUGAAACUGGCGUUCUUGAGUGGGCGAGAAGUAUGCGGAAUGCGUGGUGUAGCGGUGAAAUGCAUAGAUAUCACGCAGAACUCCGAUUGCGAAGGCAGCAUACCGGCGCCCAACUGACGCUGAAGCACGAAAGCGUGGGUAUCGAACAGGAUUAGAUACCCUGGUAGUCCACGCAGUAAACGAUGAAUACUAGCUGUUCGGGGCAAUUGGGCCUUGAGUGGCACAG